AUUGAACGCUGGCGGCAGGCCUAACACAUGCAAGUCGAACGGUAACAGGAAGAAGCUUGCUUCUUUGCUGACGAGUGGCGGACGGGUGAGUAAUGUCUGGGAAACUGCCUGAUGGAGGGGGAUAACUACUGGAAACGGUAGCUAAUACCGCAUAACGUCGCAAGACCAAAGAGGGGGACCUUCGGGCCUCUUGCCAUCGGAUGUGCCCAGAUGGGAUUAGCUAGUAGGUGGGGUAACGGCUCACCUAGGCGACGAUCCCUAGCUGGUCUGAGAGGAUGACCAGCCACACUGGAACUGAGACACGGUCCAGACUCCUACGGGAGGCAGCAGUGGGGAAUAUUGCACAAUGGCGCAAGCCUGAUGCAGCCAUGCCGCGUGUAUGAAGAAGGCCUUCGGGUUGUAAAGUACUUUCAGCGGGGAGGAAGGGAGUAAAGUUAAUACCUUUGCUCAUUGACGUUACCCGCAGAAGAAGCACCGGCUAACUCCGUG
rnacentral:rRNA from 1 species